GGAAUAUUGCACAAUGGGCGCAAGCCUGAUGCAGCCAUGCCGCGUGUGUGAAGAAGGCCUUCGGGUUGUAAAGCACUUUCAGCGAGGAGGAAGGCGUUAAGGUUAAUAACCUUAGCGAUUGACGUUACUCGCAGAAGAAGCACCGGCUAACUCCGUGCCAGCAGCCGCGGUAAUACGGAGGGUGCAAGCGUUAAUCGGAAUUACUGGGCGUAAAGCGCACGCAGGCGGUUUGUUAAGUCAGAUGUGAAAUCCCCGAGCUUAACUUGGGAACUGCAUUUGAAACUGGCAAGCUAGAGUCUUGUAGAGGGGGGUAGAAUUCCAGGUGUAGCGGUGAAAUGCGUAGAGAUCUGGAGGAAUACCGGUGGCGAAGGCGGCCCCCUGGACAAAGACUGACGCUCAGGUGCGAAAGCGUGGGGAGCAAACA
rnacentral:rRNA from 1 species